UACGUAGGUGACAAGCGUUGUCCGGAUUUAUUGGGCGUAAAGCGAGCGCAGGCGGUCUUUUAAGUCUGAUGUGAAAGCCCACGGCUCAACCGUGGAGGGUCAUUGGAAACUGGAAGACUUGAAUGCAGAAGAGGAAAGUGGAAUUCCAUGUGUAGCGGUGAAAUGCGUAGAUAUAUGGAGGAACACCAGUGGCGAAGGCGACUUUCUGGUCUGUAAUUGACGCUGAGGCU
rnacentral:rRNA from 1 species